CUCAGCUAUAUUCCUCGCAUCUCAAGCUCCUGAGGCUGGUGCCUGGCUGAAUCUCAAAUCCCGGCGAGAUUAGAACCACCUGGACUAAACCAUCAGAACAACGAGAAAACGGAUGGCAUUACUUUAAUACCUUGGUCCAAUGGUCGUUUCCUAACAUGGGAUGCCACUUGUAAUUAUACUCUGGCGUCUUCAUAUAUUGACAUAUCAAGUACAUCUUGCGGUAAAAUUGCCGAAAAUUUUGC